rnacentral:rRNA from 1 species
UACGAAGGGGGCUAGCGUUGCUCGGAAUUACUGGGCGUAAAGGGCGCGUAGGCGGGUGUCUAAGUCAGAGGUUAAAUCCCAGAGCUCAACUCUGGAACUGCCUUUGAGACUGAGUGGCUUGAGUACGAGAGAGGUGAGUGGAAUUCCCAGUGUAGAGGUGAAAGUUCGUAGAUAUUGGGAAGAACACCGGUGGCGAAGGCGGCGUC